CGCUUAACAAUCGCUGACAUAUAUUAUUUAUGAAGAUAUUUGACGUGUUAGGCAGCCAAUGUGGUCGUAUCUGACGGAACAAAGUGCAGAUAACUCUCCAGAUUCAAUUUGGUGUAUCAUCUUGUUGUCGUAUUUUCAAAAAAUUGCAACGGUUCUAUGUUGAAUUGUAUUGGGACAUCCAAGCUGAGACACAGACAAGAAGCCGGGCCAUUUUGCUUGUAAUUAAUAAUAAUAAAUCGUUUAGUUUAGUAGCCCUUGCAUAUUGAACGCGUUGUCAAAUGUCUCCGAUAAACCGAUAAAAACUUUCUUUAUCGGCUUCCCGAAAGUUACAAAAUAGACUAAUUAGAAUGCUGAACUCACAUCUUUUAUUAUACUUUUUCUCUCUGUUUAUCUUGUUGAUCUUCUUCGUCAUAAGAAAUUUGGUGUCUUUUUCAGACUCCACAUUUGUCGGAAAUGCGGGUAGGUGAGCUGUGCUUUCAGUGUAUCACUUGUUUUUAGAUUCUAGAAUAAAAAAAAGGUUAUAUUA